rnacentral:rRNA from 1 species
AGAGUUUGAUCCUGGCUCAGGAUGAACGCUAGCGACAGGCUUAACACAUGCAAGUCGAGGGGCAGCACAGGGUAGCAAUACUUGGGUGGCGACCGGCGCACGGGUGAGUAACGCGUAUGCAACUUACCUAUCAGAGGGGGAUAACCCGGCGAAAGUCGGACUAAUACCGCAUGAAGCAGGGGCCCCGCAUGGGGAUAUUUGCUAAAGAUUCAUCGCUGAUAGAUAGGCAUGCGUUCCAUUAGGCAGUUGGCGGGGUAACGGCCCACCAAACCGACGAUGGAUAGGGGUUCUGAGAGGAAGGUCCCCCACAUUGGUACUGAGACACGGACCAAACUCCUACGGGAGGCAGCAGUGAGGAAUAUUGGUCAAUGGCCGAGAGGCUGAACCAGCCAAGUCGCGUGAAGGAAGAAGGAUCUAUGGUUUGUAAACUUCUUUUAUAGGGGAAUAAAGUGGAGGACGUGUCCUUUUUUGUAUGUACCCUAUGAAUAAGCAUCGGCUAACUCCGUGCCAGCAGCCGCGGUAAUACGGAGGAUGCGAGCGUUAUCCGGAUUUAUUGGGUUUAAAGGGUGCGUAGGUGGUGAUUUAAGUCAGCGGUGAAAGUUUGUGGCUCAACCAUAAAAUUGCCGUUGAAACUGGGUUACUUGAGUGUGUUUGAGGUAGGCGGAAUGCGUGGUGUAGCGGUGAAAUGCAUAGAUAUCACGCAGAACUCCGAUUGCGAAGGCAGCUUACUAAACCAUAACUGACACUGAAGCACGAAAGCGUGGGGAUCAAACAGGAUUAGAUACCCUGGUAGUCCACGCAGUAAACGAUGAUUACUAGGAGUUUGCGAUACAAUGUAAGCUCUACAGCGAAAGCGUUAAGUAAUCCACCUGGGGAGUACGCCGGCAACGGUGAAACUCAAAGGAAUUGACGGGGGCCC